rfam:Enterococcus gilvus ATCC BAA-350 genomic scaffold acEQl-supercont1.3, whole genome shotgun sequence.
GAGAACUGAUAAUUCGAAAAGUCGAAUGACGGAGUAACGCCCUGAAAGGCUUUAGCUAAAACUGCGACAGGCGAUAAAUUAUUAAGGAUUUCAUGGUCUGGAGCUCGCAGAAGUCGACUGAGAAGACGCCCUAAUCGUAUUUUGAGAAUACGAAAGGAAAUGCGAACUAGAGGUAGUCGAGUGUCCGAUAGGUCGGGCUUCCAUAAA